UUUUUUUUUUUAUUACUCAAAUGAAUUUAUCACAUCUGUAGUUGUAUAAUGAUCAUAACAAUCUGAUUUCACAUGAUUUCCAUCCCACAGCCCAGGCACAUCCCCCCACCCCCCUUUUUGGGGUUAAAUUGAUUUUAUUUUACUAGUUUCUUAAGGUAGAAGAUAAUUGAUUUUUGAAUAAUCAUUGGCCUUUUUCCUUUUCUAAUACAAGCAUUUAAUGCUAUAAAUUUCCCACUAUGAAUUUUUAGCAUUACCUCAUAAAUUUUAAAUUGUUGUAUUUUCAAUUUCUUUGAUCCUUGCAUUCAUUUGAAGUGCUGUUUAAUUUACAAAUAGUUUGUGAUUUUCCAGUUAUCUUUCCACAGCUAUUUUCUAUUUAAUUCUUCUGUAGUCAUAUAAUAUACUUUGUGAGAUUUCAUUCCUUUUGAACUCAGAGUUUUUUUAAUGACCAAUUUUGGCGAACAUUUCAUUUGCACUUUAGAAGAACAUAUAUUCUGCUGCUGUUUUUCUAUAAAUAUCUAUUAUGUUAAGUUAGUUGAUAGUGUUAUUCAAGUCUUCUAUAAAUUUUCUGAUUUUUUUUCUCACUUGUAUUAAUUACUGAGUGAGAAAGGUUAAAGUCUCCAACACAACUGUGGAUUUGUCUGUUUCUUCCUUCCAUCCUACCAGCUUUUGGCUCCUGUAUUUUGAAAUGCAUGCAUAGUCAUGAUUUUAUAUCUUCUCAAUAAAUGGAAUUCUGCAUCAUUAUGUACUAUCCCUAUUUAUCCUUGGUAAAAAUCCUCAUUCUGAAGUAUAUUUUAGAUAAUAUUAAUUUGGCCUCUCCACCUUCCAUUUGAUUCAGGAUUUGGCAGUAAAACUUUUUCCAUUCAUUUAAUUUUAAAUUAUUAAUUUAUUUAUAUUUAAGAAGGGGUUUUUGUUUUCCAUGUAUAAUGUGAUCUAACAAACUAGGUCUUUUAAUUGACAUGUGUAAGCAAAGUAUGCUUAGUAUGUAAACAGUUUUAUUUAUUUAUUCAUUUAUUUAUUUAUUUGCUUUUUAGGGCCACAGCUGAGACAUAUGAAAGUUCCCAGGCUAGAAGUCAAAUUGGAGCUGCAGCUGCCAGUCUACACAAAAGCC
rnacentral:lncRNA from 1 species